rnacentral:rRNA from 1 species
UACGAAGGGUGCAAGCGUUACUCGGAAUUACUGGGCGUAAAGCGUGCGUAGGUGGUUUGUUAAGUCAGAUGUGAAAGCCCCGGGCUCAACCUGGGAAUUGCAUUUGAUACUGGCUAACUAGAGUGAGGUAGAGGAGAGUGGAAUUCCCGGUGUAGCAGUGAAAUGCGUAGAGAUCGGGAGGAACAUCAGUUGCGAAGGCGGCCAUCUGGGACAACACUGACGCUGAAGCACGAAAGCGUGGGGAGCAAACAGG